rnacentral:rRNA from 1 species
CGGAGGGUGCAAGCGUUAUCCGGAUUUAUUGGGUUUAAAGGGUGCGUAGGCGGUAUUUUAAGUCAGUGGUGAAAACCUGCAGCUUAACUGUAGAAUUGCCAUUGAAACUGAAGUACUUGAGUUAUCUUGAGGUAGGCGGAAUGUGUAGUGUAGCGGUGAAAUGCUUAGAUAUUACACAGAACACCGAUUGCGAAGGCAGCUUACUAAGGAUAUACUGACGCUCAGGCACGAAAGCGUGGGGAUCGAACAGGAUUAGAUACCCUGGUAGUCCACGCCGUAAACGAUGAUGACUCGCUGUUGGCGAUACACAGUCAGCGGCUUAGCGAAAGCGUUAAGUCAUCCACCUGGGGAGUACGCUCGCAAGAGUG